rnacentral:lncRNA from 1 species
GUAAUUCUGGUACGGCUUAGCAGAGGUUAGCCCCAUAUGCUUCGCACUUCGUUAGCGAAGUUCGGUUUCGGCAUUUCGUGCGCGCGUUGUGCGGAAUAGAUAAAAUGUGUGUGGGCGUGGGCGUGCGCGCUUUGUUGAAAAAAUUGUGGCGUACGUCACGUGGCCGCGAAUGCGUGUUUGCCGCAGUUUCCAAACAGCGCUGCUGCAGUUAGAAACAAGCGAAGCUUCUCAAAGCAUGAGUGUUGCGGAGUUCCGACUUCUUCGUGUCUUGUCUGUGCCAUUAGAAACCUUUGGAGUGAUAGGACUCGCCUACUCCUUCACGUUUUCGAGCACUGCGGCAAUGGCGAGUGCAACGGUAGGACGACUAGACAUCCCAAAGUCAGCGGUGGGCAGUGGCUUCGUUUGUCCGUCAAACAAUCCUGGUGAUCGCAUGGACGUGAGAUGGCCUCGAGCGGCGCUUCCAAGUUUCUAUGGCGGCACGUUCCAGGUUCUCGACCGAUUCCAAGUUGGUUUUGUAGCCGCGCUUGUACCUGGGAAAAAAAGAUUCCGCACUUGUGCAAGCGCUGUUUUCUGACACGUGAAUCGGUGCGGCAUUCCACAAGACUAGGAAGAUCGUGUCUCGACAGGCUCCUUUUCCUCUGGUCUUCUUCGCUGCAGUGGGCAUGGCGAGCGGUUCCAAGAAAAUAAACUUGACUGGCAGUUUAUAUAUAA